CACGUAGGGUGCGAGCGUUGUCCGGAAUUAUUGGGCGUAAAGAGCUCGUAGGCGGUGUGUCGCGUCGGCCGUGAAAACCUGCAGCUUAACUGUGGGCUUGCGGUCGAUACGGGCAUCACUGGAGUUCGGCAGGGGAGACUGGAAUUCCUGGUGUAGCGGUGAAAUGCGCAGAUAUCAGGAGGAACACCGGUGGCGAAGGCGGGGUCUCUGG
rnacentral:rRNA from 1 species